UACGUAUGGUGCAAGCGUUAUCCGGAUUUACUGGGUGUAAAGGGAGCGCAGGCGGCAUGGCAAGUCCGAUGUGAAAACCCGGGGCUCAACCCCGGGACUGCAUUGGAAACUGUCAGGCUAGAGUGUCGGAGAGGUAAGUGGAAUUCCUAGUGUAGCGGUGAAAUGCGUAGAUAUUAGGAGGAACACCAGUGGCGAAGGCGGCUUACUGGACGACAACUGACGCUGAGGCUCGAAAGCGUGGGGAGCAAACAGG
rnacentral:rRNA from 1 species